rnacentral:rRNA from 1 species
UUGAAAGGGAAACGAUUGAAGUCAGUCGUACCGACGAGAAAUCAACUUAUCGUGUGCGAACUUGUGGGCGUGCGUGAGUUUCGGCCUCGCUGUUUGCAUGUUUGUGCGUUUUGGGUGUACUUUUUCGUAUGGUAGGCCAACGUCAGUUUCGAUUAUCAUAAAAUGACCGGCGGAAUGUAGCUUCGAUUUCGGUUGAAGUGUUAUAGCCUCUGGUAGAUGUGGUGAUUGAGACUGAGGAUUGCAGCGAAUACCCUUUGGGCUAUCCGUCUGGCCUCUGAAAGUUGCUCAGGUGCCGAAAGCGUGCUUACGGUCAUCUAAGAUAACGUUCAACAGGUUAGAACGUGAUUACAUUCGUUAAGGAUGUUGACGUA